AGGGUUUGAUUAUGGCUCAGGACGAACGCUGGCGGCGUGCUUAACACAUGCAAGUCGAGCGGAGACAGAAGACUUCGGUUUUCUGUUUUAGCGGCGGACGGGUGAGUAACGCGUGAGCAAUCUGUCCCAGACAGGGGGAUAACACUCGGAAACAGGUGCUAGUACCGCAUAAGACCACGAGAUCACAUGGUUUCGGGGUAAAAGGAGGAAUCCGGUUUGGGGUGAGCUCGCGUCCGAUUAGCUGGUUGGUGAGGUAACGGCCCACCAAGGCGACGAUCGGUAGCCGACCUGAGAGGGUGAUCGGCCACAUUGGAACUGAGAAACGGUCCAA
rnacentral:rRNA from 1 species